CCAGCCCGGGCGCUGCUCCUGCCCGAGGCGAGGCCAGGCGGGCGACGGAGACGAGCAGGAUCUGCAAGUUAUCUCAGCGCCGGUGCAACACCAAGAGAGAAGGAAGAGGUAAUGCAAGGAAAACUGAGGAUGGUGAAGUGGAGAGAUAACACUUUUACUGUGCAGUCUGUCUUGCCAUUUUGCAUCAGAGAUGGUGCAAAGAGGAGACCUGUCUCCUUGGGAUUUGUGCUUCUUCCCAAAGAUCAAGUUGGUGCUCAAAGGGACCCAUUUUUUUGCCAGUAGAAGAUGUGAAAGCAAAAGCGAUGGAGAGCCUCAACAGUCUUUCAGAAAAUGAUCUGUGGAAUUGCUUUGAAUGUUGGCAGCAUCAUAUGCAGCUGUGUGUCAGCUCAGAAGGGAACUAUUUUUAACGUGAUCAUAGUUGAUUUUCUUAAUUUGUUAAAUAA